UGGGGAAUAUUGCACAAUGGGCGAAAGCCUGAUGCAGCGACGCCGCGUGAGGGAUGACUGCCUUCGGGUUGUAAACCUCUUUCAGCAGGGACGAAGCGAAAGUGACGGUACCUGCAGAAGAAGCACCGGCCAACUACGUGCCAGCAGCCGCGGUAAUACGUAGGGUGCAAGCGUUGUCCGGAAUUAUUGGGCGUAAAGAGCUCGUAGGCGGUUUGUCGCGUCGGCUGUGAAAACCUGGGGCUCAACCCCGGGCCUGCAGCCGAUACGGGCAAACUAGAAUUCGGUAGGGGAGACUGGAAUUCCUGGUGUAGCGGUGAAAUGCGCAGAUAUCAGGAGGAACACCGGUGGCGAAGGCGGGUCUCUGGGCCGAUAUUGACGCUGAGGAGCGAAAGCGUGGGGAGCAAACAG
rnacentral:rRNA from 1 species